GCCCGCCUAGCUCAAUCGGAUAGAGCGUCAGACUCUUAUCGAGAUCGGUUCAUUGAAUAUCAUCUGAAGGUUGCGAGUUCGACCCUCGCGGUGGGCU
rfam:Fistulina hepatica ATCC 64428 unplaced genomic scaffold FISHEscaffold_464, whole genome shotgun sequence.